rnacentral:lncRNA from 1 species
GACCUACCAGAACCCUUUCUUCUCCCCUCUCUCAGCCUCCGCCCCACGCCGCCGCUGGAAAUCGCCCACGGUGGCGGCCAACCUCUAAACAUCCCCAAAUCAACACCAGACAAUCCUCGCCUCCUCCUUAUACCAUAUCUCUUCUUAGUUUCCUUCAAAACCCCUCAGAUUCUCUCGAUAUAUAGAUCUAAGAUUUUCGGAAACUCUUAGUUUCGCCCUUUCUUGAUUCUUCGAUAUUCUCAAAUCGUUUUGACCUAAAACUUACGCUAAUCGAUUGUUCUUACGUUAGUUUUGGCUCAUCUCAAAAUCACCGAAAUCCGGUCAAAUACCAUUGAAUCAACCACUUACCGUUCUGUUUCUCAGGAUGACGGGAAUCAUUUUGGUCGCCCCUUUGAGCUCAGUAGGUAUAUCUCUUUUUCUUCUUAUUUCCCUAUUAUUUUCAACUGUGUGGUUUUGUGUUGAAUUUGUUCAAUCAAUUAAAUCUAGUUAUGCAGAAUUAAGAGUUAGAUGAAUUAAUGUUUGCAUAUCUAGAUUGAUAGUUAAUCACUUAUUUUAAUUAGUUUGAUUGUGUUUUGAACUAGUUUUAAAUUUUUAAAAGUAAUGUUUGUUUAGUUUUCAAUUUGAAUUAGACUUCAAAUCUGUUUGUUUGAAUGUCUUAGCUUAGUAUUGGGCAUGUCUUGUUUGACAUGCAGGCCAACUAGAUUAAAAUCCAAGUUGAGAAGGAUUUAGGGUCUAGGUCUUGAUUUUGGGCUUGUUGGCCAGAAGGCCCAUGCGUGUGAAUGCUAGCUAUGUGGUAAAAAAAAUAGGGGUUUAAGAUGCUAAAAGUUGUUAUAAAGCAAUACAUUCACACAUAUACACAAAUAUUCACACUCUUCUCAUUCGCAUUCACUCUUAUCUCACCCAUACAACAUCUUCACAUCUCACUCACACACUCAUUCAUAUACAAUUCAAAAUUUUAAAAAUUCAGCAGCACUAAAACAGUUGAAAAUAAAGUUUGAAAUUCAAAAAAUAAAAUCCAGUUGAAAUCUAGAAUCAGAAUAACUUUAAAAAACAGAAGGAAGUACCAUAUGGAGAAGGAUACAAAGUUGUUUUCAAAUUCCAGCACAUUUGAUUGAUAUUUCUAGGAUUUCAAAAGUUAUUUCAAGGUUUUGCGAGCUAAAAAACUACUAUUCGAUUGACUAGAUAUGUUGUCCUUGCUUUGCUGAACUCAAUUCCAUUUCUUCAUCGUUUUCUUCCUUGAUUUAGUCAUUUUAAGGUAUUCCUUAACUUCUAAUCUCGUAACCUUGUGUGAAUUUAGUAAAAUCUUGUUUGUUGCAGAUUGAUUGUUGUUGAAAUAAAGUUAUUUGUUCUUCCUUGCUGAGUUGAAUGACUGCCAUAACUGAUUUAGCUAUAUCAUGAUUUUGUUUGAGCAUCAAAUUUAAAUUAAUCGUAGUUAUUCCAUCCCACAUUUACUAGAAUUACUCUUGUGUUAAUUGGUGACGAAGAGGCUCAAUUGACUGAGCUAAUGGCUUAAGUUUACGGAUCUUAUCACUGGUUGAUUAGAUCGGUAAACAUUAUGAUUAAAGAGGCAAUUCCAGAUAUGUCCGUGGUGUAUUGCUGGUUGAUUUGUAUAUUGAUGUAAAACUAAAAGGCUUUUAGUACAACUAAAUGAUGUUAUCAUACUGCUUUAGCUCAUACAAAUCUAGUUAUUAUUGUAAAUUCAAAAUAAUAAUCCUUGAUGCGACAGUAUAAUGUUGUAAUUUAUAAAGUUCGAGCAAUCAUGUGUUCAUGCUUGGAAAGAUUUUAUCGUUGCUUUCAUUUGUGCAAUAAGGUACGAAAAUUGGGUGAAGAAUUAGAUGGAUUAGUUAUUAGAUCUUUGGUUUCAGAGCACUGCUCGUCCUAAACAAUUAGCUCAUACGAAGUUGUGCUAUUGAUUUGGGUUUUUCAUAGACUUGGAACUUUAGUAUGUGUUUGGGCUCAUUUAGAGGCCCAAUUGGAAGCUUGUGAUUUUAAUGCGCA